UACAGAGGUCUCAAGCGUUGUUCGGAUUCAUUGGGCGUAAAGAGCUCGUAGGCGGCUUGUUGCGUCGACCGUGAAAACCCGUGGCUUAACUGCGGGCUUGCGGUCGAUACGGGCAGGCUCGAGUUCGGUAGGGGAGACUGGAAUUCCUGGUGUAGCGGUGGAAUGCGCAGAUAUCAGGAGGAACACCGGUGGCGAAGGCGGGUCUCUGGACAGUUCCUGACGCUGAGGCACGAAGGCCAGGGGAGCAAACGGG
rnacentral:rRNA from 1 species